AGAGUUUGAUCCUGGCUCAGGAUGAACGCUGGCGGCGUGCCUAACACAUGCAAGUCGAACGGAGUUCUUAAGGAAUGCGACUUCGGUCAAAUGACUUUUGAACUUAGUGGCGGACGGGUGAGUAACGCGUGAGCAACCUGCCUUUCAGAGGGGGAUAACAUUUGGAAACAGAUGCUAAUACCGCAUAAGAUUACAGUACCGCAUGAUACAGUGAUCAAAGGAGCAAUCCGCUGAAAGAUGGGCUCGCGUCCGAUUAGAUAGUUGGUGAGGUAACGGCUCACCAAGUCGACGAUCGGUAGCCGGACUGAGAGGUUGAACGGCCACAUUGGGACUGAGACACGGCCCAGACUCCUACGGGAGGCAGCAGUGGGGAAUAUUGCACAAUGGGCGAAAGCCUGAUGCAGCAACGCCGCGUGAGGGAAGACGGUUUUCGGAUUGUAAACCUCUGUUUUCGGUGACGAACAAAUGACGGUAACCGAGUAGGAAGCCACGGCUAACUACGUGCCAGCAGCCGCGGUAAUACGUAGGUGGCAAGCGUUAUCCGGAAUUACUGGGUGUAAAGGGAGCGCAGGCGGGAUAGCAAGUCAGCUGUGAAAACUAUGGGCUCAACCCAUACACUGCAGUUGAAACUGUUAUUCUUGAGUGGAGUAGAGGCAAGCGGAAUUCCGAGUGUAGCGGUGAAAUGCGUAGAUAUUCGGAGGAACACCAGUGGCGAAGGCGGCUUGCUGGGCUCUAACUGACGCUGAGGCUCGAAAGUGUGGGGAGCAAACAGGAUUAGAUACCCUGGUAGUCCACACUGUAAACGAUGAUUGCUAGGUGUGGGGGGUCUGACCCCCUCCGUGCCGGA
rnacentral:rRNA from 1 species